AACGCGUGGGUAAUCUACCUUCGAAUUGGGGAUAACGUUGCGAAAGCGACGCUAAUACCGAAUAACAUCCACUAAUCUUCGGGUUUUUGGAUCAAGGGUGGCCUCUACAUGUAAGCUACUGUUUGAAGAUGAGCCCGCGUACCAUUAGCUUGUUGGUGGGGUAAAGGCCUACCAAGGCGUCGAUGGUUAGCUGGUCUGAGAGGAUGAUCAGCCACACUGGAACUGACACACGGUCCAG
rnacentral:rRNA from 1 species